rnacentral:rRNA from 1 species
UACGUAGGGGGCUAGCGUUGUCCGGAAUCAUUGGGCGUAAAGCGCGUGUAGGCGGUCCGGUAAGUCCGCUGUGAAAGUCCAGGGCUCAACCCUGGAAAGCCGGUGGAUACUGUCGGGCUAGAGUCCGGAAGAGGCGAGUGGAAUUCCUGGUGUAGCGGUGGAAUGCGCAGAUAUCAGGAGGAACACCGAUGGCGAAGGCAGCUCGCUGGGACGGUACUGACGCUGAGGCGCGAAAGCGUGGGGAGCGAACAGG